CAUGGUGCUAUGCAACUCAAAUAUGAGAAAGUAGUCCGAAAAGAUGCAUGGUACUACGCAAAUUUGAUAUGAGAAAGUAGGGAAAAGAAGUGUGGUGGCCUAACUUUUGUUAACAUGAUUAUUGGCCGGACGGGAGGCAUGUAUUGGUUACCGCCAGCAUUGGAAGCUCUUUGAUUCUCUACCAAGAUCGUAGAGUCUCUGAUACCAUGUGAGAAGUAUGAGAAGAAUAUUAUUGAUUGUUAUAACUACAUUAUUACAUUGAGACCCUAUUUAUAGACACUACAUUCUAAUCCUUUUCCUAAUAGGACACUACAUUGCAAUUCCUUUCCAAGUAGGAUUCUAUAUACUAUUCCUACUCCUACUCAUAUUCUAAUAAGUACUAGUUCAUUUACGAUAAUGAAGUAUUGUAUCCUGCUAUACUAGAAUGAAUGCAAAAGAUAAAGUGAUCAAAAAGAUGGAAGAAAAAAGGUUGGCACUAUGUGGAUCCUUUUUGUCGGGGUAAGAUUAUAGUGCAUUGCUGUCUGUAAAUUUUUUUUUUGCUCGAGCUAGGGAAUCAAUUAAGUCUGCUUUGUCAACAGGAUCUCCAUGUCCACACUGAGAUUAUAAGUAAAAUAAAAGAACUUGUGCUAUAUCCUGAUUCAAGGAGUUCCUAGGAUAUGCCCUCGCAUUAUCAUUUUGGUUAUUUGAGCAUAUAUGACCAUUACAAAGGCAU
rnacentral:lncRNA from 1 species